CCAAUCCGACUCCAUCAUUAACUUCAAUUUAUCAACUUUCUGUAAGACCCACUUCAAAAUAUGUUUAUAAAUUCUAGUUAGCUGUUUUAUGCUGCUUCUUUUGUUGGGUUUCUGUCUUUCUAUGUAAUCUAUGGUGUUCAUGUUCCUUGUCUGCGUUUGGAAGGAAUUUGCUUAUCUCUGCUGGAAAUUUCUAGUAAUAGGCUCUCACAUUUUGGUGUUUCGGGAUCUCCCUGAUUUUAUUUAUCGAUCCACGAAAAGUCGGCUAGAAAUUUAUUAUUUAACUAUGGUUUUUUCAUGAAAAUAUGAUUCUUCUUUCGUGGAUUGACUCAAAGCUUUUAGUUAAUUCUUUUGCUUUGGUAUUGUUUGUCAUCAUAAAUUUGAUUUAUUAAUGGGAUGUUUAGUUAAUCCUCCUGAAAAUGCUCCAACAACAUGGCAUGUUUAGUUGGGUCUCUCUUUAACGGUCUGGCCAUCUAUGUGGCCAACUUCAUGAUCAUUUUUUAUUAGGUUGUAGCUAAUGUGAACUUAUUGGUAAGUGGUAACUGGUUUUUACAGUUUCCAUUAAUUAUUUCUUGUACAAUUUAUCAGUUGUUUUCAAUCUCUCUCUCUCCUAAUAGAUGGAAAAGGGCAUUCUUAAGUAUGUAAGAGUUACUAUGAGUUGACGGGUUAGCUCCAAACAGUGGGAGAGUCAUAAGAUCGGAAGUACUUUCUCGUCCUUGUAUUCCAAUUUUUCAAAUGUUGUUCAAAAUCCUACUCUAUUUGGUCAUGUAGUCCAUAGUCGAGUUGCCUUCCAUUUUUUUACUGUUCUUAAUUGUUCCAUUCAACUUGGACCAUUUUAAUCUUUACACUGUUUUAUAAAUGGAACAAUUAAGAAGUUGUCCCUUUUGUGCCAGCUAUGUAGAAAGUCUUUAAAGAAUUGUUUCCCUUCACUUUUCUAUCGUUAUAUCUUUGCCUGUGCAGCUCAUGGAUUUUACAGAAUUUGGUUUGUUUAUUCCCAUCCAGAAGAGAUAUCUAAUGACUCAUUGAUCAAGAAACCGAAGAGAGAAGGCCAAAAAGGCAGACGUUCGUGAUAAUGUUUGUGUGCCUUGCAACAAGAAGCUCAGUGGCUCAAUUAAUAGCAGAACCACACAUCUAAGGAAUUUCAAUUCAUUUAAUGUUUUAAAUGAUUCAAUCAUGACGUUUGUCAACUACUUGCAGCCAAAAGAUUAAAAAAGAACGGUUCAAGCGGUCUUGACAAGAUAAUCAGAAGAACUAAAGAACACAUGUAGAAGAAAAAGGCAUAUUUUGAGUAACGGUAGACUAUUUGAUGUAUGCUCGGCUACACAUACCAUGAAUCCAAUUGCUAAAGAAGUGACAGAAGCGAUGCAAGAGGUUAACAAAAAGAUUCAAGGGAGUUUUAAAUAUAUCAGAAGUUCACAAAUCACUUAAGGGAGGUUCAAUGAGAUGGCUCAUCAUAUUGGGAUCACCAGUCAGAUGAUAUUGUUCUAAUAGUCGUGGCCUAUGAAAUUGAAAUGUUGUAGAAUACAUGGAUGCAUUUAAUCUUCUACGAAAGCAUGAUCCUCAGUUGCAUUAGCUCUCUUACUGCUUUAGAGUGGGAAUGGACAACUAGUGUUGCUGACUAUUUGAAACCUUUUGUCAGAAUCGUGAACUCUUCCCAGGUAACAGAUCUCCUAUGCAUACAUAUAUUUUCCUAAGAUGUGUGAUCACAUUCAAUUAAUCAUGUGGUGUAAGAACUCGGAUAAUCUUCUCAACUCCUGUGCAUUGAAAAAAAAAAAAGCCAAGUUUGAUAAAUGUUGGACAAAAUGGAGUCUGGCUUUGGCAGUAGCUGCUUUUCUAGAUCCAAGGUUCAAAAUGAGUUGAUUGAAUACUACAAUUAGCAGAUUUACGGUAGUACAGCCUUGGAUCAUAUCAAGAAAGUUUCUAAUGGUAUCAAGGAAUUUUAGGAUGCAUAUUCAAUCCGCUUUACAAUGGGUGAUCAAGGUUCAGCUUUGCGUGGAAGCACAGACAGGCAAUGACUCUAGGCACAGGCUGAAGACCUUGAAAGAGUCCCUUCAUGAAACUUCCCAAGAGGUAACCAAUCUUGUCCAUGAUGGCUCGUGAUGUUAUCAAGACUCCAAUGUCAAGCAUUGCACCCGAGUUUGCAUUUAGCGUUGGGAGGUCAAGAUCUUUAAGCCCCGAUACUGUAUGUUUUGCUAUGUUGUACAUAAUGUAAAUAUUUGAAUGUUUUGCUGGCAAUGAGAAUUGUAAGUAUUCAUAUCACUGAUGUCCUGUGAGUAAGGAUGGUCGUUUAGAAAGAUUCUAUGUUACGUGUGUUUGGCCUUUUCAUAUUAUUUAAAUUAAUAUUAUCAUUAAGCCAUUUUACAAA